GGUUGAUCCUGCCGGAGGUCACUGCUAUCCGAAUCCGACUAAGCCAUGCAAGUCCCGGUGUUCAAUUUAUUGGACGCCGUGGCAGAAAGCUCAGUAACACGUAGUUAACAUUCCCUCGAGUCUGGGAUAAUCUCGGGAAACUGAGGCUAACACCAGAUAGACAAGGGGUACUGGAAUGUCCCCUUAUCAAAAGUCCGCGCUCGAGGAUUGGACUGCGACGGAUUAGGUUGUUGCCAGGGUAACGUCCUGACAAGCCGAUAAUCUGUACGAGCCUUGAGAGAGGAAGCUCGGAGAUGGAUUCUGAGACAAGAAUCCAGGUCCUACGGGACGCAGCAGGCGCGAAACUUUCCCAAUGCACGAAAGUGUGAGGAAGGGAUUUGGAGUGCUCUCCCUACUUUAGGGGGAGCUUUUGUGGAGUGUUAAAAGCUUCAAGAAUAAGUGGUGGGUAAGACGGGUGCCAGCCGCCGCGGUAAUACCCGCGCCACGAGUGGUGACCACGAUUAUUGGGCUUAAAGCGUUCGUAGCCGGUUCAGAAAGUCCUUAGUGAAAUCCCAUAGCUAACUAUGGGGCUUGCUAGGGAAACUCUUGGACUAGGGACCGGGAGAGGUCUGGGGUAUUCCAGGGGUAGGGGUAAAAUCCUGUAAUCCUUGGGAGACCACCAGUGGCGAAGGCGCCAGACCAGAACGGAUCCGACGGUGAGGGACGAAAGCCAGGGGAGCAAAGGGGAUUAGAUACCCCCGUAGUCCUGGCUGUAAACGAUGCCCACUAGACAUUGGCAAUCUUAAGGGGGUUGCCAGUGCCGUAGCGAAAGCGUUAAGUGGGCCGCCUGGGGAGUACGGUCGCAAGGCUGAAACUUAAGGGAAUUGGCGGG
rnacentral:rRNA from 1 species